rnacentral:rRNA from 1 species
CUGACGCAGCGACGCCGCGUGGGGGAGGAAGGCCUUCGGGUUGUAAACCCCUGUUGCCCGGGACGAAUGUGCACUUUAGAGUGCAUUGACGGUACCGGGUGAGGAAGCACCGGCUAACUCCGUGCCAGCAGCCGCGGUAAUACGGAGGGUGCAAGCGUUGUCCGGAAUCACUGGGCGUAAAGGGCGCGUAGGCGGCUCAUAAAGGCUGUGGUGAAAGUUCGGGGCUCAACCUCGAAUCGGCCGUGGCGACUUGUGGGCUGGAGCACUGUAGAGGCAGGUGGAAUUCCGGGUGUAGCGGUGGAAUGCGUAGAGAUCCGGAAGAACACCAGUGGCGAAGGCGGCCUGCUGGGCAGUGGCUGACGCUGAGGCGCGACAGCGUGGGGAGCAAACAGGAUUAGAUACCCUGGUAGUCCACGCCGUAAACGAU